UCCACAGUCAUCGGCAUGCUGGUGCGGCUGGCGUAGCUCUGCAUUAGAAAUGAAUUGUUUUCGACGUAGCCACAGCUUUCUCCGCUCUCACAAUCAUGUAUUACGACGAAAGAUGCGUCCAGCAAUCCGCAGACAAACGCUAUGCGCUGCCGCAGCCGAUAGCAACGAAGAUCCCUUACCCUUCGACUCCGUGAUCUCGCAAAGGAGACGGGAGUCUUCAAACAGCCUCCUCGUCGAAGUAGAAAAUCGACACAGGAUCAUCGAACUAUGCCAGGAGUGCCUCCGAUACGGGAACCUAACAAAAGCCUAUUACUACGCGGGAAAACAACAAAAGUGCCAUGUCCUUUUGGAGUUUGAGACCAGUGAGUCUACACACAAGCUGCUAAGAGACUGCAAGCACUUAUCUUCGGAUGGGUUCCCCGUGUGGUCCAGGCUUCUGAAGUUUGUUCCAAAGAACAGCUCGAGGCAGCCGGCAACGUCCAUCCCCGUCGAUAUUGAGACGUGUUCAGUGCCCUCAGCCUCCCAGCUCUCGACGGAGCUCAUGCGAUUGGC